CGUGCGGAUCUUGCGGGGUGCGAGGCGGUUGAUAGGUCCCGCAUCUUUCCUGAGCCUUGCACACCCAAGCUCGGGCGCCCGCGUUCCCACACUCUUCUCCUACCCCAACCCCCUUCCCGGACUCUGCGAUCGGCUGCCCCUCCCCACACACGCGGCUGUUUGUUUUUGUUGGGUUUGUCAAUGUUGUCUUUGUUCGGGAGAUUGUGUCAUCGCCUAGAUGCCGGGAAUAAAGUGCGACCCUGUGUGUGAUCAAGUGUGUGUAACAUGUGCGGCCAGGGCUAAGGGCGCCUCUGUCCAUCAGUGCCUGUGAGAGGGAGGGACAUUCGGGAUCCUGGGCCUGCGAGAGGGUUCGCUCUUGUUUCUAAAGGGCCAAAGAGCACUAAUGAUCUGUGUGUGUGUGUGUGUGUGUGUAUGCCAACACACGUUGUGUACCCCUGCGAACAGGCUUUGAAAUAUGGACUGUGAGAAUCUGGGCCUGAAGAGUGACAAACUGUAACUACACAUGUGCAUCUGGCAUGUGUAAAUACGUGUGAUGGCGCGCAAGUGUGAAAGCAUUUGUGAGUAGUAUCACAGCGGCGUGUGGGGAAGCGUGUGAAACUUUGACAAGGAAAACAUGGUCAAUGCAGAAAACUUGGAGCAGCGCAAAUGAAGUAAAAAAAAACAUCACCCAAAGAUGUUAAAUCUCAGGAGCCAGCACACUUGACAAUUCUUUCCCCGUGGCUCUGGAAUUUUUUAUGGCGCUGAAGGGAAGGGCAAACAAGCAAACCUGUGAGCAGGAGAGCGAGCCUGGAGAGCUUGAGUCCUGGCUGUGGAAACGUGGGCAAGGCCUUUAACCUCAUUGAGCCUCCAUUGUUUUCAUCUGUAAGGUGAGGGCCAGACUGCUUUCUUCCUGGAAUUAUACAGAUCAAAUGAAAUACCAGCUCUGAGGGGCCGAGGGGGCAG